UGGGGAAUAUUGCACAAUGGACGGAAGUCUGAUGCAGCAACGCCGCGUGCGGGAUGACGGCCUUCGGGUUGUAAACCGCUUUUUCUCAUGACGAAGUUUUUUGACGGUAGUGGGGGAAGAAGCACCGGCUAACUACGUGCCAGCAGCCGCGGUGAUACGUAGGGUGCGAGCGUUGUCCGGAAUUAUUGGGCGUAAAGAGCUUGUAGGCGGUUUGUCGCGUCGAUAGUGCAAACUCAGUGCUUAACGCUGAGCCUGCUGUUGAUACGGGCAGACUAGAGGAAGGUAGGGGAGUAUGGAAUUCCCGGUGGAGCGGUGGAAUGCGCAGAUAUCGGGAGGAACACCGGUGGCGAAGGCGGUUCUCUGGGCCUUUCCUGACGCUGAGAAGCGAAAGCGUGGGGAGCGAACAGG
rnacentral:rRNA from 1 species